rnacentral:lncRNA from 1 species
ACAGAGCUGAGAGCUUAGGGAAAAAAAAAGGGAAGAGAAACUUCAUCCAUUUGACCUUUAAUCUUGCUUAGAUUUGUAGGAAGAAAGGGAAGAUCUUGAUCAUACCACCAACCUUGGUUUAAAAUUGGAAGGGAAGAAGAUUUGGUGGAUUUGUGGAUUGAUUUUAUUUUGUUCGGUGGAUCAAAAGAGGUAAACAUGCUAGAUCACCUUCCUUUUUUUUCCUUAUGUUUAAGAUAAGUUAAUCUUGUAGGUUUAAAGACUAGAUCAUGUGGUGAAUCCUAGAAGUUUUCCAAGUUGUUAAUUUUGAAUUUGAUGCUUGAUUUCUUGAGAUGACAACUUAGGAUUUGGCUAUUUAUAUGUAAUUUUGGUGACAUUACUUGUUGAGAUUUAUGGCUAUAUAUAUCUAUUAACAUGAUGGGAAUAAAACCUUGUGGAUUUGCUAGGAAUUUUUGGUUGAAAAUUGAGUGAUUAGUUGGAUGAAUGUUGGAAAAUUUUGCAAAAAAAUUUCUGCUUGCUAGCCGAAACAAAGACUGAAAAUUUCAGCUUGGAUUUUGAAUUUUUCAUGAUGAUUUUUAAGAUAAAUUUUGCUCAAAACACUCUAUAAGACUUUAAACUACAAGUGUGUGUUGGAUUUGAACCAAAAUCAUGGACUUUAAGUGGUUUAAACUCAAUUUUCUCACUAUUUUCUUGGCUGAAAUUCUCCUCAAGCUGGCCGAACAGAGAGAGAGGUUUUGUGCAGCUUUUCUUUUGAAGUUGUGGGGUGAAAUUGUCAUAUUAAUGCCUUAUACACUUGGUUAUACCUUAACUCUAACAUGGGUGAUAGAUUUGAGCAAAAUCUGAUAAGUCUAAGAGGUGAAAAACCUCACUUUUUCCUGUUUUAAGUGCUAGAUUUCCAGCCUACAAACAAAACUGUUUUGGACGGUUUUAAACCAUAAUUGGUGGAUGAAAAUGAGAUAUGUUCGCACUACCUUCUACUUGAAUCAUUGACCUAACAUGUACAUAGAUUUUCCCCUUGAAUUGAACAAGAAACCAUGCAUUUUAGGGAGAGUUUGUGAGUAAGAAAAAUCUGAAAACUUGAGAUUUCUUAAUUGGGACUUGGAAGUAGUUUCGUUUAAAUGUGUGGCUUGGAGCAGUGGAUCUUAUUGUACUCUAUUUACCUGAUUCUAGGACUUGGAAGUGAGUCCGAAAUUGCACCCGAGAUGGACAUUUUGUGAGGACUUCUAAAAUUCCUUAUAUUUUUCUUAAAAUUUCCUUUAAUUUGGAAUUUAUUACUUUACAGUAACUUUACUACACAUUCACUUCCCCAAUAGCUACAAAUAAUCAUAGAACCAAGGGUUUCUUCUUUUCUUUCAUCGUUAAGCGAACUAGAGUUUUUACGUCUUUUCAUAGUGUGAGUAAUCGGUGCGAAGUGUGUACUAAAUUUGGUAAUUAAGAGUGAGUUUUAGAUAAGAAAAAGUGUGUGAUUAGAAGUAUUAAUAAUAGGGGAGUGAAUUAUAAGUCAAAACCCUAGUACAUGCCAGGUAAGGAAAAACGGUGUGAACCAACGUGUACCGUUCACUACCGAUUGAACACACUACUUGACCACCACUUUAUUAACUUAAUCUCAUUGUCAUUAGUACCAAAAUAUCAUCCCUAAUCAGCCUAGAGAGAGAGCCGAAAUUCUUGAACAAAAAAAGAAAGGAAAAAGAAGAAAAAUUCAAGAUGCAAUCUUGAGGCGACAAGUGGCGAACAUCCCAAGGUUGUUGACCAACCAGUUUCUUUCAUAUUUAUCACCAAAUACACUUCUUGUGCUCUCCAUUUCUGUCAUUCCAGCUGAGACUUAAGGAAAGAAAACAAGAGAGAAAGACCACUUCAUUCCAUCUUGAUUCCUAGCUUAGUUGAGAGAAAACCGAAAAUCUAAACCAAUUAACUUCUAAAUUGGGAGCUUAGGAAGCUUGGGGUGCUAAAGUUUGGAAAGGAAAGGUGAAGGAUUUCUCUUGCAAGCAUCUUAGAGAGGUACAUGGUUGCCUUUCCUUUAUCUCUUCCUUAAACUUGAUUAAGUGUGGAUAACAACUUAUACUUGUGGUAAAUGAUAGUUCUUUUGGUAGUUUUGAUGGAUAUGGUGAAUUUUGAGUUAGGGUUUGAGUUGUUCAAUUUUAUUCCUUGUUGUUUAGAGAGCAUAUGAUGUCUAUAAUCUUGUAUAGGAAGUUGAAGUAGUGGUUCAAGGUAGAAAUGUGAAGUUUAUACCUUAAAUGCAUUAAAUUCCAGAUUUAAGGAUUGAAACUGCUCUGUUUUGACCAGCUUUAUUUGUGUAUGUUAGAAGCCGAAUCAGGCUUAGAUCAAAACAUGAAAGUUGUAGGAAAUGGUGUGAUAUAGCUGCCUGUAAAAUUUCAGCUCAAUCGGAGCACGGUAACAUGUCAAAAGCCUCAUUUCAUGGACAGUUUCAAGAUUUCCCAUUUUUUACUUCAUUUUUCGCCUUGAUCCGUAUCAAAUCAGUCUUUAGCCAAAACACAAAAGUUUUAACCCUAUGUUUCAAUUUUCCAACGCAUCUGAAAAUGCCUCAAUCGGAAGUGUGUAGCUUGAGUUAUUGCCGUUUGAAUUCAGUACUGACAACCCGACUGAUCAUGAAUUUUUGGUUCUGUAAUUUGUAAAUUCGACCUAGAUCAACCGUGAACUGGGUUGAGCUGUCUUCAUACAAGUUGUAGCCCUUUGUCUUAGCUUCGAAUCGGUACAAAAGGUGCCUCAAUCCGAUAAGCGUAGUUCCAUUUGUGACCAAAAUACUAUAAGAUGUCAAAUCUGCUAGUUAAUCUUUUGGGCUUCAAAACUGAUUUCUGGUAAUAUUAUUGGACUUGUGAUGUAAUUGGAUGAUUUUAGAGCCUAAUUGAAGGCUAUAGUGAUGACAUUUCUUGUGUGUAAUGUUGGGGCUGACUUGAGAAAAAUAAUGAAGCCAUAAAUGGAUGAAAAAUAGGUAAGCACAAAGGGCGCACUGCCUAACCUUUAACUUGAGGGCUAGGAGAUGUACGUGCGACUUGAGUAGGAAUUGAGAACGAGUUUCACUUGAAUCGUCUAGGGUAUUCAAGCCUUCUUUCAUAGAGGUAUAUAAGUUAGAAUUCGGCCGAAACUUGUACCCUUAGAAAAAUGAAAUUUACGACUAAUAAAAAUACGUUUUUCUCGUUUUUUCGACUCAAAUGGUAUUUCAAAGUAUAAUUGCUUCAAAGUUUCACAAUUUGAAGAGCGAGCAAGAGUUUUACGAAUAUUCUCUAAAUGAGUUUCAAUUACUUGAUUCUCGUUAAACGAAACAUUUAAGUUUCGAAUCUUAGUUAAUUUUCAAAGCUCAUAAAUAAUGUUUUCUCGCAGAUUUGGACUUCAAACACGGAGUAGUACUCGAACGUGACCCGUAAAGGCACUACAUCUUUUGGUGAGUGCUUCCAAAUACCUGAUUACACUUGACACUUGUGUUUAAUGCUUGACCAAUAUGAUUACAUGAUAUAUGAGUAGAUUGAUAGGGCAAGAGUGUACUUUAUCACACUUGCCCUAAUGUGAUUUAUUCUUGUUCAUUGAUUUCAAUGGAAUUGAUAUACAUGCUUCUGAAUUGUAUUUUGUCUGGAAUUCUAGAAACUCUGUGGCUAGUUAAUCAAGUCGAAUCGGCAAGGGCCUGGUCAAUUAGAUAACGAACCCUGGGUAGUAAGUGUUGUCGAGUGGAGUGUUAUCUCCUUGACUAAUCGGUAUACUCGAGUAUUAUCGCCAGUGUUUACCUUGGAGUUCGGGUCCGAUAAGGGGUCUGGUUGGUGGAUGGAGAUUGGAGUUAAGUGGUGUACUACUGGACUAGUUACCUUACUUGAAAGUUGACAGAGUGUCAACUACUAUUUGAUCAAGUUAUGGUGGAACUGGUUUACCAAGGAAACUAUAUCCUUUUACGUGAAAUACUAAAUAUGAAAUGGUGGUUGUACAAAGUGUAUUGCUCAUUUUCUUGACUUGUUAUACUCGCUAUUUCACUAUUAUGAUACAUUUACUGUUAAUUAAUGGUCAAUUUACUAUUUGGAACAUCACUGAAGUUUAGCUCACUCUGUUAGUUUUGUUUUCCUUACAGGGGGCACGAGCGAGGCGCGAGAUUUGUAAAGACUAGCGUAGUCUAAUUGUUUUGAAUUUUGAAGUUGUACUCGCACUAGCACCCGACUAGAGUUGUUUGUACAUGAAUUGUAAACACUUUAAAGUAUUUUGGUGUGUAGAGCUUUGUAUCUGGGUUGAGCAUCAAUGUAUAUAUUAAGUUUGAAC